UACGGAGGGUGCAAGCGUUGUUCGGAAUUAUUGGGCGUAAAGGGCGCGUAGGUGGCUGUGUAAGUCAGAUGUGAAAUCCCCAGGCUCAACCUGGGAAUCGCAUCUGAUACUGCAUGGCUCGAGUACAGGAGAGGGAAACGGAAUUCCAGGUGUAGAGGUGAAAUUCGUAGAUAUCUGGAGGAACACCGGUGGCGAAGGCGGUUUCCUGGCCUGAUACUGACACUGAGGCGCGAAAGCGUGGGGAG
rnacentral:rRNA from 1 species